rnacentral:rRNA from 1 species
UGACCGUGCGAAGGUAGCAUAAUCAUUAGUCUUUUAAUUGAAGGCUUGUAUGAAUGGUUGGACGAGAAGUAAUCUGUCUCUGUUGAAAAAAUUGAAUUUAACUUUUGAGUGAGAAGGCUUAAAUGACCUAGAGGGACGAUAAGACCCUAUAAAGUUUAAUAUUACAGCAAUAGAAAAUUAAUUAGGUUAUAAGAUUUGUUAUUGUAGGUAGUAUUUUGUUGGGGCGACAAGAAUAUAAAUAAUUUAACUGUUCUUUUUUGUAUCAAAGAUAUUUGAGUUGAUGAUCUUUUUAAGAGUAAUAGAGUAAAUUACUUUAGGGAUAACAGCGUAAUUUUUUUUGAGAGUUCUUAUCGACAAAAGAGUUUGCGACCUCGAUGUUGAAUUAAAGAUUCUUUAUAGUGCAGAAGCUAUACAAGAAGGUCUGUUCGACCUUUAAAUCUUUACAUGAUUUGAGUUCAGACCGGUGUGAGCCAGGUUGGUUUCUAUCUA